CAGGCACCUUAUCCAGAGUCCUUCCUGGGCUGGGCUAUAGACGAAUGGUUGUACCCACAGCAGAAGGAAGGCGAAGGGUCCAAACAGCAGCUCUGCAAAGCCUUGUGUCAGGGAAGUAGGCAGAAACAAAGCUGGAGGUCCCUGCUGUGAUUCUUUGCUGAAAACCACAGAAAGCUUUUAAGCUGGAGCUAUAUCUUUUGCCCGGGAAUGUAGGUCCACAGUGGGUAAUGAAGUAUAGAAUAAUCAUUAUAUAGUUGAAAUCUUCUCCAGUGUCAAUAAUGGAGGCAUGUCUGGAUAGAAAUUUUCAUUGAUAACUGAAAAGUGUACUUUUUAAUUAAUUUCACACAGGAAUUUCUUGCACGUUUGCCAGUGGAGGGCUGUAUUAGUAAGCU
rnacentral:lncRNA from 1 species